AGCACUCUGCUCCCAGACGUCCCAGAGUUUAAAUCUAAGACAGACAAACCAAAGGGCAAGAGCAAGUCAAAGUCAAGGUCUAAAAAACACCAUGCAGAAGAUCCAUCUGCCAGCGGCCAGCUAUCCUCUCCGCUGAGCUCAGACGUUGUGUCAACAUCUACAAAGAAAAG